GGCGAACGCUGGCGGCGUGCUUAACACAUGCAAGUCGAACGGAAAGGCCCUGCUUUUGUGGGGUGCUCGAGUGGCGAAUGGGUGAGUAACACGUGAGUAACCUGCCCUUGACUUUGGGAUAACUUCAGGAAACUGGGGCUAAUACCGGAUAGGAGCUCCUGCUGCAUGGUGGGGGUUGGAAAGUUUCGGCGGUUGGGGAUGGACUCGCGGCUUAUCAGCUUGUUGGUGGGGUAGUGGCUUACCAAGGCUUUGACGGGUAGCCGGCCUGAGAGGGUGACCGGCCACAUUGGGACUGAGAUACGGCCCAGACUCCUACGGGAGGCAGCAGUGGGGAAUAUUGCACAAUGGGCGGAAGCCUGAUGCAGCAACGCCGCGUGCGGGAUGACGGCCUUCGGGUUGUAAACCGCUUUCGCCUGUGACGAAGCGUGAGUGACGGUAAUGGGUAAAGAAGCACCGGCUAACUACGUG
rnacentral:rRNA from 1 species